rnacentral:lncRNA from 1 species
GGGGGUCUCUUCGGGGGGCUGCGACACAGGUCGGAGUCUAGGCACGGUCUCCGCUUUUGGCAGAGGAUGAAAAUAAACUGCCGUCGUUUCGGGGCCGCAGACAGAAGGUUCGAGGUGCAUCAGUGUUAAUAAAUACGGAAACAUUUACUAGCAAAAAACGACAUCUCAUUUGAAUGAGUUGCGGAACGGGUAGCGUAGGGCGGCGGUGAACAGGUUAUUACCACCAUGCAUGCCAUGGUCAUGAAUGUUAAUUAAUUGUUGAGCGGACCCUGCCUGCGCCGGGCGAAGAUCCCGAAGGAGGAGGAGGAGGAGGAGAAAGAGGAGGAACGGCGAUGCCUGCGACCAGUUUGCACAGUUAAUAAAUGCGUGUGCGCGACAUCCAGCAGCAGCUCCUGUUUGUUUGCGGGGCUGUAGCGGCAGGCGUGGUACGGCGCGGUUUGCGCUGCGGAGACGUUACAGUGAUUGGAGGAGGAGGAGGAGGAGGAGGAGGAGGAGGAGAAGGAGGGGGGAGCUUUCUGGAGUUCGCGAUCCAGGGGACACCGGCGUCACACACGCCAAGCCUGAGGCGAGAGGAGAGGAGACUCUGCUGGUGGUGAGGAAGCGCGGCAACGGCUGGAAACGGCCGCCCGUUCGCCGGGGCGGGCCCGAGGCAGAGCGCCCCCAGCAGGUGCACCUCAGACCGAGCGAUUCGGGCCGAGAUGUGGAUUUGGGUCUCGGAUGGCUGGAGGGAGCCGGCAGUGAGGAUCGCCGUGUCGGGGAGGAUCGCGCUGUGAGGUUACCGAUAAGGAGCGUGGGAGAGAGUGGCAGGGCAGGUGUGGGCGUGACCCUGUCCCAGCUACCCCGGGAGCCCGGCCGCACCGCGGGACUCGCCGACGCUCUGGGACAGCGAUGCCACCGGAGCCCUCCCUCGGCAGGGCGGAUGCUGCGCGGCCGAAGCUCACACCCCCGCCUUCUCAGCCAAAAGGGAGUUGGCGGCAGUGAAUUUUUUUUUAUUGUCCUUUUUCCCUAAACCGUCAUUUUGUCCCAGUUCCCUGGGGUCUUCUGUGGUAAGCUGCUUCGAGGUUGCACCAAAUCCCCUUUGUCGCGUGUCAUUAUCGCUUUUUCUCCUCGGGGCUUUGAGUUUUUUCCGCUCCGGCGUUGGGCCGUCCUCCUGCUGUCGUGGGCUUGGGUGCCGGCCGGCGGAGCGCGGCACCCGCUGCCCGGAGAACCCGCCGCUCCGAAUCCUCCGCGACCCGGCGCCGCCGAAGAGGACCGCUGCAGUGAGAAAGGAGGAAAAGGACGAGGGGGCGAAAAUAAAGGCAGAGGGGACCCAUGCGUGGCUUGUGUC